rnacentral:rRNA from 1 species
UGCCAGCAGCCGCGGUAAUACGUAGGGUGCAAGCGUUGUUCGGAAUUACUGGGCGCAAAGGGCGCGCAGGCGGCUUGGCAAGUCAGAUGUGAAAGCCCACGGCUCAACCGUGGAUGUGCAUUUGAAACUGCUAGGCUUGAGUAUCAGAGGGGAAAGUGGAAUUCCUGGUGUAGAGGUGAAAUUCGUAGAUAUCAGGAGGAAUACCAGUGGCGAAGGCGACUUUCUGGCUGAAUACUGACGCUGAGGCGCGAAAGCGUGGGGAGCAAACAGGAUUAGAUA